AUGGGCACUUUGACGUAUUGCCUGAAGUUGCCGGCCGACAGCCACAUCCACCCCGUCUUCCACGUCUCGCAACUCAAGCCGUUCGUCCCCGACUACACUCCGGUCUUCACCGAGCUGCCAAAUAUACCGGACCUCACGGCCGCGGAACGUGUUCUGGUCGCCAUUCUGGAUCGCCGCAUGAUGAAGAAGGGCGACACCCCAGUCGUCCAAGUGCAGGUGCAGUGGAGCACCAUGCCGCCGUCGACAGCAACCUAGGAAGACUACUACGUUCUACAUCAGCGCUACCCCGACGCGCUCCUUUGGGCAGAGGAAGAUCGAGCUGCUCGAGAGGGGGCAAAUGUCACGCCUGCAGACCAGCCUGCAGCGGACUGA
rnacentral:rRNA from 1 species